AGUCGCACGAGAAAGUGGAGCAAUCCAUGAGUACAGUGGCGUACGGGUGAGUAACACGUGGAUCAUCUACCUUUUAGUGGGGAAUACCCCCGGGAAACUGGGGAUAAUACCGCAUAAGCUCGUAAGAGGAAAGCAGCAAUGCGCUGAAAGAGGAGUCCGCGGCUGAUUAGCUAGUUGGUGAGGUAAUGGCUCACCAAGGCGAAGAUCGGUAGCCGGCCUGAGAGGGCACACGGCCACACUGGCACUGAAACACGGGCCAGACUCCUACGGGAGGCAGCAGUGGGGAAUCUUGCACAAUGGAGGAAACUCUGAUGCAGCGACGCCGCGUGAGCGAUGAAGCCCUUCGGGGUGUAAAGCUCUUUCGACGGGAACGAUAAUGACGGUACCCGAAGAAGAAGCUGCGGCUAACUACGUGCCAGCAGCCGCGGUAAUACGUAGGCAGCAAGCGUUGUUCGGAAUUACUGGGCGUAAAGAGUGUGUAGGCGGUGCUCUAAGUCUGUUGUGAAAUCUCCCGGCUUAACCGGGAGGGUGCGGCGGAAACUGGAGUGCUUGAGGGUGGGAGAGGUAAGCGGAAUUCCUGGUGUAGCGGUGAAAUGCGUAGAUAUCAGGAGGAACACCUGUGGUGUAGACAGCUUACUGGACCACUUCUGACGCUGAGACGCGAAAGCGUGGGUAGCAAACAGGAUUAGAUACCCUGGUAGUCCACGCCCUAAACGAUGCAUACUUGGUGUGAGCGAUUCAUUUCGUUCGUGCCGGAGCUAACGCGUUAAGUAUGCCGCCUGGGGAGUACGGUCGCAA
rnacentral:rRNA from 1 species